AAACCUGAGAAACCCAAAAGAUCGAAUGGGGAGAUUCAUCGCCAGCGAUACUGGCACGGGUGCGGUUCGUGAUGCCGGGGGCUUCGGUCGCUUGGCACACGUCCGUAUGGUUUUUUGCCCAGUUUGUCGUCGGCGUGCACUUCUCCCCUAGUAGGACGUCGCGACCCGUUGGGUGUCGGUCUACGGCACGGGUGGGCGCCUGUCAUGUGCUUAGCUUAACGGCGUCAUGUGGCAGACCCCCGGUUGUCUGACCAGCUGCCCGGCGGUACUCGCACGGUAUCGAGUCGCAAAUAUUCGAACUGCGUCCGGCCCGCCGCAAGCCGAGGCCAGUGCAUCCCGGAUGACGGACUUUGCGCCGUCACCGGGCCUGGCCAGCUGUUGGUUGGCGGUGUCCUUGGACUGACUCUUGAUACCGGUCGGCGACGCUACUGCUUUGGGUACUUUCAGGACCCGUCUUGAAACACGGACCAAGGAGUCUAACAUGUGCGCGAGUCAUUGGGAACUCUUAAGCCUAAAGGCGUAAUGAAAGUGAAGGUCGGCCCUGCGCCGACCGAGGGAGGAUGGGACGCGUUACGAUGCGGUCCCGCACUCCCGGGGCGUCUCGUUCUCAU
rnacentral:rRNA from 2 species